rnacentral:misc_RNA from 1 species
GAAAUGCGAUAAGUAAUGUGAAUUGCAGAAUUCAGUGAAUCAUCGAAUCUUUGAACGCACAUUGCGCCCGCCAGUAUUCUGGCGGGCAUGCCUGUUCGAGCGUCAUUUCAACCAUCAAGCCCCCGGGCUUGUGUUGGGGACCUGCGGCUGCCCGCAGGCCCUGAAAACCAGUGGCGGGCUCGCUGUCACACCGAGCGUAGUAGCAAUCACCUCGCUCAGGGCGUGCUGCGGGUUCCGGCCGUUAAAGAGUCUUACAAACCCAAGGUUGACCUCGGAUCAGGUAGGAAGACCCGCUGAACUUAAGC